rnacentral:rRNA from 1 species
AUACGGAGGAUCCGAGCGUUAUCCGGAUUUAUUGGGUUUAAAGGGUGCGCAGGCGGCCAUUUAAGUCAGCGGUUAAAUCGUGGGGCUCAACCCCAUUCUGCCGUUGAUACUGGGUGGCUUGAUUGCGGUCGAGGUUGGCGGAAUUCGUUGUGUAGCGGUGAAAUGCAUAGAUAUGACGAAGAACACCGAUUGCGUAGGCAGCUGACCAGACCGCAAAUGACGCUCAUGCACGAAAGUGCGGGGAUCGAACAGGAUUAGAUACCCUGGUAGUCCGCACAGUAAACGAUGAAUACUUGUUUUCGGUGAUAUAAUGUCGGAGGCAAAGCGAAAGCGAUAAGUAUUCCACCUGGGGAGUACGCCGGCAACGGUGAAACUCAAAUGAAUUG